UGGGGGAUAUUGCACAAUGGGCGAAAGCCUGAUGCAGCGACGCCGCGUGGGGGAUGAAGGCUUUCGGGUUGUAAACCUCUUUCGCUAUCGAACAAGGCCCGCUUAGGGUGGGUUGAGGGUAGGUGGAGAAGAAGCGCCGGCUAACUACGUGCCAGCAGCCGCGGUAAUACGUAGGGCGCGAGCGUUGUCCGGAAUUAUUGGGCGUAAAGGGCUUGUAGGCGGCUUGUUGCGCCUGCUGUGAAAACGCGGGGCUUAACUUCGCGCGUGCAGUGGGUACGGGCAGGCUUGAGUGUGGUAGGGGUGACUGGAAUUCCAGGUGUAGCGGUGGAAUGCGCAGAUAUCUGGAGGAACACCGAUGGCGAAGGCAGAUCACUGGGCCAUUACUGACGCUGAGGAGCGAAAGCAUGGGUAGCGAACAGG
rnacentral:rRNA from 2 species